CGAGGAACCCCGCCGUGUCCUUCGGGAACUCCUUGAAUCCGGCCUUUUCCAUCGAACUGAUGCGAUAGUUCAUCAGCGCGCCGGUGCAGGCGACCGGGAUGCCGAUCCACUUGCCGGUCUUGUCUUUGCCAUAGGCGUUCGCAGACUCGGCCCAGCCGCCAUACUUCUUGCCGAGAUAAUCCGCGACGUCCGUGACGUCGACGCACUUGGUCGGCAAAAGAUGCGGCAACGAAUAAAGCCCCCAGACCAUGUCGAGGCCCUGCCCGGUGUUGGCCGCGACCGAAGCCUUGGGCUGAAGAUCGUCGUAGGAUUCAUUGGAAACAUUG
rnacentral:misc_RNA from 1 species